AAUGGUAGUAUAUGGUGGUGAUGUUCUUCAGAGUUGAGAGAUAGUGAAACCGAGUUUGGGACAAAAAAGUGUCAUCAAAUUGAGAAAAACAAAAUCUUGAAUCUUGAUAAAGGUUUGUUUUUGGAGUAUGAUGGUGUGAGUUGUGGUGUUUCAAGUACUAUGAAUUUUUGGAGUUUGAUUCUGUGAUAUUUGAGUGAAGUUUUUUUUUCUUUUUUCGAAAGUCUCAACUCUCAAGUGACAUCC
rnacentral:lncRNA from 1 species